rnacentral:rRNA from 1 species
UUUUGAUGUAAAAUGUAUUGGACUUUGGUAGUAUUAGUUAUUUUCUUGAAACUAAAAGUAUUUGGCGGUAUUUUAGUCUAUUUAGAGGAAUCUGUUUCGUAAUUGAUAAUCCACAUUGAACCUUACUUGUUUUAAUUUAGUAUGUAUAUCGCCGUUGAUAAUUAUCUUUUUAGAGUUAAAUUUUAAUUUUUAUAUUAUUAGUUAUUUCAGGUCAAGGUGCAGCUUUAAACUAAUAAAUAAGAGAAAAUGGAUUACAAUAUUUUUGUUGAAUAUUAAGAUGAAUUAUUUUAUUUGAAUUUUUAUAUGAAGGUGGAUUUAAUAGUAAUUUUAUGUAGAAUGUUAAUUUGAAUUAAGCUCUAUAAUAUGU